CAUGAAAAUUAAACUACCAAUGAAACUACAUGCUUUUAGUUAUAAUUUCAAACCGGGUUUUCUUUUGACUGCAUCGUGUCAAACUAAAGAGCCUGUUCAUUUAUUUAAAAAUGUGGCUCGUGAACGCUCAAGAAGGAAGCUAAACUUGUAGGUUUUCUUCAAGAGACAACUACAGUUUGAAAAUUAUGGGUGUUAGUGUAAUGACGACAACUUAAAAAUGGCAAACGUGUGCAAAUUGGCAGAUUUUAUAUUUGAUGUCAAGUAAGAUUUGAAAACCAGGCCGAAAAUUGAAGAUGGAUUAUUAUGUACAUAGUAUACCUAUGUCAGAGCCCUGAAUUUCCAAUUUAUUCGAUCAUCAAGUGUCCUCGCCUGUUCAAACUUACUGUUAAAAACGGAAUAAUGGCGAGUGAUACGAACUCAACACUUGACGUAACUGCGACAGAUAUGCGAAACAAGGAAAUUGAAUUCAUCAGGACAUAUUUCAAUAGUGUUGGACAACAAGAGCAUUAAUUCCUGGCAGAAUAUGAAGGAGGUGCUGAAAGUUUGGAGAGGAUCUUAGAAUCUUACGCUUUGUUAUCGUCGACGUCAUUUGUUUGUUCACAAACGCACAACAAACGCAAAGACCACAAACGCUUUUCAAUAAAUGAGCCAGUUGAGCAAGAAUUGUUGUAUGAGAGUGAAACAGAGGAAAUCCAGGCAUCACAAGAAAGCACUGAAGCACCGACAAUCAACAACUUGGAACAACAAGAAAGAUAAUUGACGCUUUUUUGUGGAGUUUGACUGAAAACUACACUACUGUUCUUGCAGCAGAAUCAUUUAUUUCGGACUUUGUUAAAAACAACUCAAGCACAAGACGCACAUGGGCUAAUAGAUCUUUUCACCAAACCAAAAUUAUCCUUUUUCCAAUCAACAUCCAUGACAUUCACUGGACACUACUGGCUAUAGAUAAGUUCUCAAAAACAGACUCUACUUGACCACUUGGAGGAAGUGCAGACAAAAAGAGACCUGAUAAACAGAUGAUGUAUCAUAUAAACAAACAAAGUGGUCACGUUUGUCACUGUUUUAGUGCUUUGGUAGAUGUAAAAACAGGUUGGAACUCAAGCUCAUGGCAAUGUUUUGAACCACUCCAUUGUAAACAGGAAGAUAUGUAUAACUGUGGAGUGUACAUAUGCUUGGGAGCAAAUUGUGGCUGUUUGCAAAAUAUGCAGAGAGGAUGACAAUGAAGACUGGCUGGGUUGUGAUCAAUGUGGUCAAUUUUUUCAUGCAAGUUGCCUUAAUGUUGACUUUGCCAUAACCUUGUCAACACAUUUUAGAUGCAGAUAAAAUUAUUAUCAAUAUUAUAUGACAUGCAACAAAAUCAUUGUUAUGGUAUCAGUGCAAAUUGUGCAAUUAAAAUGAGUGCUUCAAAAUAUAGUAAUGUGUGAAUGAUAAAUACUUUAAUUUAAGGUAAAAUGAACUGGAAGAUUUAAUUGAUUCGGUACAAUUGUGCUUGCCACUAAUUGAAUCUCACACAUGCAAUGAAUAGUUUGAAACUGUUGAUGAAAUGUUACAAUAAACAACAAGUUUUACAAAUAUAUCUGAAAUAAAAUGGCUUAUUCCUAUUUCUUA